rnacentral:lncRNA from 1 species
CGCCUGCUGGUAAAGCAGUUUAUCAGUGAAGCAGUACAUAUGGUGCUCUGUACUGUGUUGUGAUAUUCAGGGAUUACUGUGGAGACUGAAGUAAACUGAUGCUGCCAGUACCUUCUGCUAUAAAGAUAUCCGAACCUGCUCACCGUGCCAAGUGUGGCCUAGAACAGGGGACUUGGCAGACUCCCAGCCAUAAGCAGAUGUUCAUUUGGAUGCUGCUGUCCAUUCAUUCAGUGUUCUUGGAGGAAGCCCAACGGUGCAUAGAGAAAUAUCAAGACUGUCAGGAGAGAGAGAGAAAACCACUGGCAACAGCAGGCAUACAGCAGACUCCAAGGCAUCCUAUAGAAUUCUUUCAUUUAUUAAAUCGACAAAGAUUUGAGUCUCAGGCUCUGGGUUUUAGUGUUGUGUGUAAAAUGAACAAAAGAUAUGGGAGCCCCAGUGCUCAGAGUCAGCACUUCUUAACCCAGCCUCAAGAAACAGCUUCGCUCAGAGUGGUUUUCUAGGCAGAAGAGUUUCAUCGUGUCAAAUUUGGAACUAUAUGGAUUUUACUGACCAAGUAAGGAAUCAUCCAUUGAAUCAAAAUUAUUGUUAGUGUCAGGAGUAUCCUUCAUCCAAAGCCAUCUCCCGAAAGAUGUUAAAUGAGCAUCUAUAAUUACAGAGUGAACUUCACAAGCUUGUAUACCAUGACACAAAAUGUGCAUAAGAGUACUGUGUAUAUAUUGUUGUAUUUUCAUUUCAAAGAGUUGUUUUUAUUUUAAAUUUAUGGUUGAAAACAUUUUAAGAAUAUACUUUUUUUUCCAUAAAGAGAAAUCUCUUAGUAUUUUAUUGAUUAUUAAAAAAUAAUAAUUGCUUUAAAACAUGUAAGAAUGCAGUAAAGAAUCAAAAAAUGAUAAAUGAGAAUAUCAGCAAGGUGAUAAAAAUAUUUAUGUUACCUAAAAUUCUAUUUGUAUGAUGAGUAUACAAGUUUUAUGUAUAUUCAUUCAUUCAAUAACUCUGGGCGUUGACUAUACUAGGUAGUGGGAGUCACAGAAAGAUAUGAUCCUUGCCCUCAUAAAGCUUACAUGCUAGUUGGAGUCAGAUCCAACUACGAGGAAACAAUUGUAAUGUAAUAUGAUGUAUGUCAUGAUAGAGGUUUUAUGACCUUCAAAUAAAGGGUUUAUAUUUUGGCUGAAAAAGUAAAGGAAGGCUUCACAGAACAUUUUAGGGACUAGGGAAGGAUAGAUAUUUGCUUGCUGAAUAAUUAGGGGAUGAACCAUUGAGGCAGAAGUCACAGAUUUUAGAAGGAGUAUGACAUGUGGGGAAAUCAACAAUGGCAUAUAAAUAAAGAGCAGAGUCCUCUUAGGUAGAGUGGUGGCUGAUGAGUCUGGUUAGAGAGGUUGGAGCUGAGAUUACAGAACUUUAUGUAAUAGACUGCUGCUGCUGCUAAGUCACUUCAGUCGUGUCCGACUCUGUGCAACCCCAUAGAUGGCAGCCCACCAGGCUCCCCUAUCCCUGGGAUUCUCCAGGCAAGAACACUGGAGUGGGUUGCCAUUUCCUUCUCCAAUGCAUGACAGUGAAGAGUGAAAGUGAAGUCGCUCAGUCGUAUCCAACUUCUAGAGACCCCAUGGACUGCAGCCUACCAGGCUCCUCCGUCCAUGGGAUUUUCCAGGCAAGAUACUGGAGUGGGGUGCCAUUGCCUUCUCCAAUAUAAUAUACUAGUUUUUAUUUAAUCCUGAAGAAAGAAGUUAAACAGAAUAACAAAGUCUAAUUUUCAAAUAAAAAUAUGAUCUUGUUGGCAGAGAGAAGGAACAGGGCAGGUCUGGGAAGUGUGAAUUAGUCUUCUAUUGCUGCCAUAAGAGUUUACUACAAAGUUUGUGGUUUAAAAUGACACAAAUAUAUUGCUUACAGUUCCGAAGGUCAGAAGCCCUAAAAUUAAAAUGCUGGCAGGACCACUUGCCCUCUGUAGGCUUCAUGGGCGAAUUGGCUCCUCUGUCUUUAUCAGCUUCUAGAGGCUGCCUGCAUUGACUUGCCUGCAUUCCUUGACUCAUGGCCGUUUCCUGCAUCUUUGUUCAAAGCUAGCAGUGUAGCAUCUUUGUAGUAUCUUCAAACCUCAAUCUCUUUUUCUUUCUUUCACACACACACACACACACACACACACACACACUUCCCUCUUUAAAGGACUCUUGUGAGCACAUUGAAUCCACUUGGAUACUCCAGGAUAAUCUUCCCAUUUCAAUAUUCUUCACUUAAUUAUACCUCCAAAGUCCAUUUUGCCAUGAAAGGUAACACAUGCAUAGUUUCCUGAGAUUUAGGCAUGGAAAUCUUUUUUUUUUAAUUAUUUAUUAUUUUAUUGAAGGGUGAUUGCUUUACAGAAUUUUGUUGUUUUCUGUCAAACCUCAACAUGAAUCAGCCAUAGGUACAUAUAUCCCCUCCCUUUUGAACCUCCCUCCCAUCUCCCUCCCGACCCUUCUAGGCUGUUACAGAGCCCCUGUCUGAGUUUCCUGAGCCAUACAACAAAUUCCUGUUGGCUGUCUAUUUUAGAUAUGGUAAUAUAAGUUUCCAUGUUACUCUUUCCAUGCAUCUCACCCUCUCCUCCCCUCUCCCCAUGUCCAUAAGUCUAUUCUUUUUAAAAAUAUAUAUAUUUAUUUUAAUUGGAGGCUAAUUACUUUACAAUAUUGUAUUGGUUUUGCCAUACAUCAACAUGAAUCCACCACAGGUGUACAUGUGUUCCCCAUCCUGAACCCCCCUCCCACCUCCCUCCCCGUACCAUCCCUCUGGGUCAUCCCAGUGCACCAGCCCCAAGCAUCCUAUAUCCUGCAUUGAACCUGGACUGGUGAUUCAUUUCUUACAUGAUAUUAUACAUGUUUCAAUGCCAUUUUCCCCAAUCAUCCCACCCUCUCCCUCUCCCACAGAGUCCAAAAGACUGUUCUAUACAUCUGUGUCUCUUUUGCUGUCUUGCAUACAGGGUUAUCAUUACCAUCUUUCUAAAUUCCAUAUAUAUGCAUUAGUAUACUGUAUUGGUGUUUUUCUUUCUGAUUUACUUCACUCUGUAUAAUAGGCUUCAGUUUCAUCCACCUCAUUAGAACUGAUUCAAAUGUAUUCUUUUUAAUGGCUGAGUAAUACUCCAUUGUGUAUAUGUACCACUGCUUUCUUAUCCAUUCAUCUGCUGAUGUACAUCUAGGUUGCUUCCAUGUCCUGGCUAUUAUAAACAGUGCUGCAAUGAACAUUGGGGUACACAUGUCUCUUUCAAUUCUGGUUUCCUCGGUGUGUAUGCCCAGCAGUGGGAUUGCUGGAUCAUAAGGCAGUUCUAUUUCCAGGUUUUUAAGGAAUCUCCACACUGUUCUCCAUAGUGGCUGUACUAGUUUGCAUUCCUACCAACAGUUUAAGAGGAUUCCCUUUUCUCCACACCCUCUCCAGCAUUUAUUGCUUGUAGACUUUUAGAUCACAGCCAUUCUGACUGGCGUGAAAUGAUACCUCAUAGUGGUUUUGAUUUGCAUUUCUCUGAUAAUGAGUGAUGUUGAGCAUCUUUUCAUGUGUUUGUUAGCUAUCUGUAUGUAUUCUUUGGAGAAAUGUCUAUUUAGUUCUUAGGCCCAUUUUUGACUGGGUCGUUUAUUUUUCUGGAAUUGAGCUGUAGGAGUUGCUUGUAUAUUUUGAGAUUAGUUUUGUCAGUUGCUUCAUUAGCUAUUAUUUUCUCCCAUUAUGAAGGCUGUCUUUUCACCUUGCUUAUAGUUUCCUUUGUUGUGCAGAAGCUUUUAGGUGGGGCUUCCCUGGUAGCUCAGACGGUAAAGCGUCUGCCUACAAUUCAGGAGACCUGGGUUCGACCCCUGGGUCAGGAAUUUUAAUUAGGUCCCAUUAGUUUAUUCUGGGAGAUGGGUCAUAGAAGAUCCUGCUAUGAUUUAUGUCAGAGAGUGUUUUGCCUAUGUUCUCCUCUAGGAGUUUUAUAUUUUCUGGUCUUACAUUUAGAUUUUUAAUCCAUUUGAGUUUAUUUUUGUGUAUGGUGUUAGAAAGUGUUCUAGUUUCUUUAUGUCUGUUUUUCCAUUCACUUCAAUUCAGUUCAGUAGCUCAGUUGUGUCUGACUCUUUGUGACUCCAUGAACUGCAGCAUGCCAGGCCACCCUGUCCAUCACCAACUCCUGGAGUCCACCCAAACCCAUGUCCAUUGAGUUGGUGAUGCCAUCCAACCAUCUUAUCCUCUGUCAUCCUCUUCUCCUCCUGCCCUUAAUCUUACCCAGAAUAGGGUCUUUUCAAAUGAGUCAGCUCUUCACAUCAGGUGGCCAAAGUAUUGGAGUUUCAGCUUCAACAUCAGUACCUCCAAUGAACUACCAGGA